ensembl:lncRNA
AUUUCUGCACCACAAGUCAUACCAAAACUUAUUGGUUUAAAACAAUAAACAUUUAUUAUCUCACACACCCAUUUUGUGUAGGUCAGGAAUCUGGGAGUGCCUUAGCUGAGUGGUUCUGGCUCAUAGUCUCUCAUGAGGUUGAGUCAAUAUGUCUGUAGUCAGCUGAAGGCUUACCUGGGACCAGAAGAUUCAGUUUUAAGGCAGCUCAUGCUACAAGUUAACAUGCCUACAAGUUAAUGCUGAUGUUGGCAGAAUGCUUCCAUUCCUGUCCACAUGGACAUUGCCAGUGAGCUGCCCUAAAUAUUUUCAUGACAUGGUAGCUGACCUCCCCUAAAGUGAGCCACCCGAGAUAGAAGGCAAGUAGUAAAUGACAAUACCUCUCAUGAUCUAGUCUGGAAAUCACUUCUGCCAUAUUGUAUUCAUUACUAACAAGGCACCAAGUACAGAGAACAGAAUUAGACUCCAUAUUUUGAAGGGUGGAGUAUCAAAAAGUUGGGGAAUAUGUUUUAAAUCUACUGGAAAUUAUAAUACAAAAUCUUCUGAUUUCUACCAUUUGGAAAGUACCAACGUAAUCAUUAUUUUAGGCAUUAAAUUAAGAAUUUCAAUUCAAUAAUUUAAAAAUUACUGGGAGAACAGUUGAUAUGACACAAAAAACAUGAAUAUCCUGAAAGUAUCUUCUCAGGAGAUUCUCAUUUAGGUGGAAACAGUUGGAAAAAAUAACUGUGACCAAGUUAUCAAAAUUAACAUCACCAAUAAUGAGACAGGUCAGUACCACAUGACUUCCAAUAUAAUACACUGAGAACACAAAACAUUAUUUCUAUGGUAUUCUUGCCAAAAGUACAUAACUGAAACUUAACCAUGAGGAAACAUCAGAUAAGCUAAACCUAAGUUAAUGAACAUUAUAUAAAGUGACUGAAUAGGACACUUUAAUAACAUCACGCUCAUGGAAAACAAAGAAGAGUUGUCCCAAAUUAAAGGAGACAAGGAGACAUUACAACUAAAGGUAAAAGGUGACCCUGGACCAGAAAAAUUACACCAAUCAAAUGAAUGGUGAUGAAAUUUGAAUAAAGUCAGUGAAUGAAUUACAAACGUAUAAAUGUUAAUGUUCUGAUUUUAAAAAUUAUACUGUGAAAAAAAAUUUUUAAAUAAAAAUUUUACUAUGGUUAUAUGAAGUAUUAGUGUGUGAGGAAGCUGGGUGAGGAUUAUAUAGAAAUUCUUUAUCCUGUUUUUGUAACUUUUUGAUACACCUAAAAUUAUUUCAAAUUUAAAACUAUUAAACUUAAAAACUACUAGAUGAGUGAUAUGAUUACAUCAAAAAUUCACUAGUCUUUAAUUUGAGAAGCUAUUGGGAUGAACUAUAAUCAUUUUCUAUAUGGACUUCAUCCUUCCCUGUUUCUAGUCCCUUCAGACCUUUCUAGUAAACCUACAACAGCUAUCUACCUAUAAUGUAUAAGUGAUGUUUCCAAUCUCCUUCUUAAAAUCUGUCAGUGACUUCUUAUGUCUUAGGAUAAACCUAUUUUCCCUAGCAGGGAAUCCUCACACAAAUUGGUCAAAGAUAUAUAGAACUGAACACAUUCCCUGAGACAGACAUUGGUCUCCAUAUAUGCUCUUCUUUCUUUUUUUUGCUAGGAAAAUAACUGAUUUUUCUUAGAGACUGAUCUCUAAACAUCUGUUUGUGAAGUUUUGGGGUUUUUUAGACCCCUUUUCUCUCCAAAUACAGUUAAUUGUUAUAUCUCCUGCCACCUGUAGUGCUUGGUAGUUAUUUCCUACAUAGCACUUGUACUAUAUUGUAAGUAGAUGCUUAUAUACCUAGGUUUGGAGCAUUCUUGUUAUUGUUGCAGUUUAUUUAUUUUUUUCUCCUGAGUAGUGUUAGCUUCUAGAGGACAAAGUCUAAGAAUGAUAGGUCUAUAGUUAUUUAUUUCUCUAUAAGAAAACAUUCCCAAGUAUUAGCAGCUUAAACCAACUUUUAUUAUGUCAUACUGUUUUUGUCCAUCCAAAAUCUAAUAGCAGCUUAGAUUGGUGGGUUCUAGCUUGGAGUCCUUCACAGGGAUCAAGAGGAAGUCUUGGCCAGGAAUGCAGUCAUUCAAAGACUUGACUUUGUCUGUUGAAUCUGCUUCUAAGAUGGCUUAUUCACUUAACCUUUAAUCCAAAAUCUCAGUUCCUCCUGAGCUGCUCACAAGAAGGCUCAGUUCUUCACCACAUGAGCCUCUCUAUAGAGACAUGGUAGCUGUGUUCUGAGAUCACAAGCCACAAUUUCCUUUAUAAUCUAUCUCUGAAGUGACAUACCAUUGCUUUUACCAUAUUCUACUGCUAUCACACUAUACAGUAUAUGCAUACCAGAAGGCAAGAAUCACUGGGCCCAUCCUUGAACUGGACUACCAUAAUUAGACUCCUCCAACGUCUGAAAAAAUGAAGUGAUCUCCUGACCACAUCUUAAAACACUUGUUGAUCAAAGAACCAAAAUGAUCUCAAUUAUCUCAAAGCAGUCUUGGCUAUAAAAAUGCCAUUCCCAGACAUGGGUUAGGGUCACAUACAACCCUUAAGAGAGAUUCUCAUGCAUUAUUCACUCACAUUCUGAAUAGAAGAAACUUGUCAUUUUCCAGGAAUAUAAACUCUGAAUAGUGAAGAUGGCGAGGCUGACUUGAGAUCACUGGGAAAGUCAGAAGACGCAGGAGUAGAUUCCUUGAGCUACCAUCUUCUGGGUGGCCUUGAAUUGUUUACAAUUCUAAGUCUUCUUCUACCUUUAUUAAAAGAAGAUUCAUGGGUCUAGGAGAUGGCAGCUCUGUAUCAAUAUGUUAAGAUUUUCCAUUUUCUAACUUUGGAAUGAAUCACACUUUCUCACCACCUCCUAUUCUCUGGUGUAAAAGCAAAACAAAUCACUGAUCAAAUGUUCAGAUUUUUAUAGAAGAUUCUCAUAUUACUUAAUAGCUGUGUACCCCAGCAGAGGAUCCAUGGCCACAUCUUUUGGUCUUGUCUCUUUUUCUAAUGCUACUUCUCAAUGUGGAGUAUUCUUUCCCUAAAUUCUAAUGUCAACCAUUGUAAUUCUACCAAUUUGUCUUGUUCUGGCAAUGUCUCUCCUCCUUCGAGAAGAUUCCCUGAUCAUUUCCAAGGUACUUUCUUCUUUAUUGGAACAAACCUGUCUCAUAUUUUUUUCAUUUUUAGGGAAUUUACAUUUUAAAAAGUAUUUAGAUAUAUGUAAGACAUGUAACACAUAUUUUUUUAUUGUUUACAUCUCCCAGACAAAUAUUUCUUUAAUGGAAUAAGAGUUUAAUUUCACCACAGGGGCUCUUUGUUCUUGAAAACUCUGGGGUAAAUACUUAUUGCAAUAUUCAAAUUAUUUCUCAAUCGUUUUUAGCUUGCUUGUUUUUGGCUUUUUAUUGUGAUUUCAGAGUUUAAAUUAUUAUAUAUUUGAGGGUGACAUACCCAUAAUGUGACAUUAAUAGGUUUUAUACAGGUGCACUAUGGGUAUGUGUCCCCUUUAAUAAAGUUAAAUGCACUAAGCACAUGCAUUUCUAAAGCUCACUGAAUGUGUGUCAUGCUUAUGGGUGGCCACACUCCAGAGAACUGAAUAUGUGCUACAGAAGGAGAGGAGAACUGGGGGUGGGGAGAAAACCCGUGCAAGGCAAGAGAGCUGAGCGUUCCCAUGCCCUGUACUAGAGGAAGGAGAGAAGGGGAGCACUGCUUUGGAAAUACUAAGCAAAGAGAAAGGGAAUGAAAGGGAGAGGGGUGGGGCUGACCACACGACAUUAACCAGAACUAACAGAUGGAAAGGAUGCACAUUUCCCUAGAUGAUUGCUGACUUCCAGGACUCUUUGGCCUCUCUACCCAGCUCCACCCUUGAGCCAUGCUCAGAUCAAGUAUCAUUUGCACUCUGGACUCCCAAGAAGGCAGCUUCUCACCUAACUUACCUCUCUCACCUGCAUGGGAGCUAUAGCUUGGGUUGUGGGGGAAGUAGUGUGGCAUGGGGGAGUCCAACAGACAUGGCAGAAAUUUGACUCUGCCACUUAGGAGUUAUCAAAUUACCUACUCCUUUGGCAUGAUCUGGAGCAAAUAAUACCCAUAAUUAGGACUGUUAUGAGGAAUGUACAUUAGUUGGUACUCACUAAGUAGCAGCUAUUGCAAAACAGUGUAGCAUGAUGGCUAAAAGCAUGGAGUCUAGGUCUAGACAGAGCUUCCAAUAUGCUCCAUUACCUACUUUCUGGAUGACUGAUUUUCUCUGUCUCACUUUUCUAACCUAUCAAAUAGGUUUAAUACAGUAAUAGUACAGUUUCUAUCUCACAAAGUUGCUGAAGUGAUGUGAUGGCUGUAAUUCAGAGCAUAAAAAGCACUCAGUAGAUGAAAAUAGCAGCAGCAAAGGUAGUAAUUAUUGUUGUGGUUAUUAUUAUCAUCAUGAAAGUUGCCAUGAGAGGCAUUAGUUAAGAUUAGUGCUCUGGUGCUGAACUACCUGGGUUCAGAUCCUGGAUUCACUCUUUACCAAGUGUGUAAUCCCAGAGUCUCCAUUUUCUCCUCUGUAACUUGGAAAUAAUAAUGGUAUCUACUUUCUAUGAUUAAAUGAACUAAUAUACGCAAAUUACUUAGACAAAUGCUGGUACAUAGUAAAUCAUACAUGUAGUCAUUAUAUAAAUUCCAGCCAGCCGUAGCACUAGUUGCUAGGCAUUUCUGUGGGUUAUUUUAAAGCAUGAUGUUUUAUAAAGUUAAAUAAACUUUAAGUGUUCUGUGGUGAUUAAUCUGGACUACCAGUUCCCUUGAAAAUAAGCCAAGCUUUCAACCAUAAAAGGUUUUCAACUGAGUCCCAGAUGACCAUAACUUCAGUGUUGAUGUGUAUAGCAGAUGGUGAACUGUAUUUUUUAAGUUACUCCCUCCACAGAGAACACUGUAAAGUUCACAUCGGAAUUAAAUGCCUCAGUACAAGAGGAUGCCGCUAACUCAGUUCUGUCACUCCACACCUCUAGGAAAGAGACUUCAUACUCAAGCACAUUGGAGAAUAUCCCUGUGUGCUACAGGCAUUGCAGGUUUCACUGCCACACCAAAAGCCAGCCACUUUCAAUAGCGAUUUUACUCUUCUUUCUGACUAUAUUGCAACAGCACAUUCGUUCAGAUAUCAGAAAGGUUUGCAGUCCAGGAAAUUUUUUUUGCCUUGUCUUCAGCCAAUAAUCUUGUAGUACAGUGAUGUCACCCCACAGUUAUGCAAUAUGACUUAACUGUUGGAAAGGUGACAGGAAUUCCACUGACACCAAGAUCCCAAUGAAACUGUUUAGCUGCUGAAUUAGUCAUAUUGUACAUUUCAGAUAAGACAUAUUAAACUGUGAUUAACUGCCAGUUCAAAUAGUACUAUUGUCUGGGCAGGAAGUCAGGACCCAUCACUCAGUUUAAAUGGUCACAUCCAGUUAUUCUAGCAUCUAAAUAAUACAAACAAGUGGUUAUCGAACUUCACAGAAUCACAGGCCACUUACAAAAGGACACAAUGUAAAAGGAAACAUUUUCUAUCCUCUAUUCAAGAGGAAAUUCAUACAAAAUUUGUACAAAAUUUCCUUGAAUGCCCCUAAAAUUAGUCAUUUUAGUCUCUGGAUGAUUUUCCCAAUCCAAGUAAGAUGAGAGUAAAAUCCUGUUUCUCAAUGACAAUAGGGAUUUUUCAGGAUUUUUUUACAUAAUACUGUGAAAGGGGACUUUUUACAGACCAUAGGUCAUGGUGAGUUAGAUGUCAUUUAUUCAACAAUAACAGUUGUUAAAAAUAAUACAUAUUUCCGCCGCCUGCCUUGCAAGCUCAAGGACCUGAGUUCGAUCUCCGGUAUCAAAAAAAAAAAAAAAAUAAUAAUAAUACAUAUGAAGGGCCAGGGAUUUAUCUCAGUGGUUUCACCACCUGCUGCACAAGCGCAAGGACCCGAGUUCAAUCCCCAGUACCAAAAAAAAAAAAAGUAGGAAAAAUAAUACAUAUGUUAGAAAAACUAACACUGAAAAGUGCGAAAAAGAGAGCUCCACAAUUCCACUCUCCCCAAAACAACCAUAACUAAAACUUUGUUGUAAUUUAUUCUAGUCUGAAUACUCAUGAAUACAACAAAAACUCUUUGCCUGGCUGGGUGUUGGGUGCUAGGCAUUGAAAGAUAAAAAUAAGACUCCAUCGCUACCUCUGAAGGAAGGCAUAGCUUAAUGUAAUGGGGUAUCUGAACACAAAAGAGGUAUUUAGCAGAGGCUGAGGAGAAUGGAAUGUGGGUUAGAGAAGGUGGAAGGGAUUACCAGGGAAGAUUAGAGAAAUCCUAGAGCAGGGCUCUUCAAAGUGUGGUCCACUAGGUGACAGCAGAUUUUACAAAUAACCAACAGAAAUAGAAAGUGAGUAUUUAAAACUUCCAGAGCAAUUUGACAAAGUAAAUGUUUUUCUGUUGAAUCUAACUUUUUUUUUUUUGUACCAGGAAUUGAACUCAGGAUCUUGUACUUGCCGGGUAGGUGUGGCACCACUGAGCUGUGUCCCCAGCCCUGAAUCUAACAAUUUUUAAAAUCAGGUAUGGAGGAAUGGGAAUGAAUAAUGUCUCUGCAUCAUCCCCGAAGCAAAUGAGCUGGGUGGUCAUCCUGCACUACUACCUACUUCUCCCCACAUAGUUAACCUUUACCAACUUCCAUGAUAAUUUUCAGGAUAGGAUAGUUUAAGAAAGCACAAUAUAGGUUGGACAAAUUCCAACUGUGCUAUAUUAGCAGCCAUGUGACUUUGGGCCAAUUUUUAAACUUCUGACUUUCUGGUUCCCAUUUUCAAAAUAGAGGGUGGAUUGCCGUCAAUGUAAAAUGCAAUCCUGUUACAAAGUAAAGUGACUGAAAUAAAAUAGGUAUUUAAAAAUAAUAUGCUUGCUCCAUACCUAAGAGUUUGUCCUGGUUCCAUAAGUGUUUGUUCUAUUUCUUACAGUAGCUUCUUGCAAACCUAGUCUCAGUGUGGAUCAAAGUGUUAGAAAUAUAAGAAGGCUCAGUCUCUCUUUCCCACAUUACUACUUAGGAGCAGGGAAAGGGACAAAAAAGAACACUUACCAUGGAUCUAGUGAAUAUCAGGCACUAUGUAACAUGUUUCACUUGUAUCACUUUGCUUCAGGAAAGUUCCAGAUCUUCCCAAACACUCCAAACACCUAGGAAAUGUUUCAAGUUUCUACUUUGUUAUUAAUACAUUUGUUUCUUAAGGACUAUCUUAUCACCAGGCACCCUACAAACACAUUUCCCAGGAAAUGUUCCCAGAUGUCAUGCGAUCUUUCCAUUUUAGACAAGCUGCAUUGAUCAGGUAUCACCCAACUGAACUGCUUUUUCUCCCUUUAUUCUCAAUAUAAUGUUGUCUCUAUGAUCAAUCCACCAAGUCCUGGUUUUUCUUCACUGAAUUCCAUUCUUGGCCCUAUACCUAGACCACACUUUCACAUGUAUUAGUUGCUAACAUACCUUUUAGUGUUGCCUUAUGAUUCUCACUAGGUCUCUGAGUGACCUUGAAACUCCACGGUCAUUUCUUCAAUGUUCUCCAAUCUUUUUGUUCUACAGAGUGUGGUUUUGGGUUUUCAUCACUGCAUUUAUUUUUUUCAGCUUUUAGCCAGCUGGGAACCAGUGCUCUGCCCUCUGCCCCAUGUUCACCUUGCAAGCUACCAAUCUAGGUCAUAAUUUUUAUUCAUAUGUCUCUCACCAC